rnacentral:tRNA from 1 species
GGUUAUGGCUCAGUGGUAGAGUGCUCACCUUACACGUGCAAGGCUCUGGGUUUGAUCCUCAGCACCA